GCCAGACUCCUACGGGAGGCAGCAGUGGGGAAUAUUGGGCAAUGGGCGCAAGCCUGACCCAGCAACGCCGCGUGAAGGAAGAAGGCUUUCGGGUUGUAAACUUCUUUUAAGAGGGACGAAGGAAGUGACGGUACCUCUUGAAUAAGCCACGGCUAACUACGUGCCAGCAGCCGCGGUAAUACGUAGGGAGCGAGCGUUGUCCGGAAUUACUGGGUGUAAAGGGAGCGUAGGCGGGGAUGCAAGUUGGGUGUCAAAACUCCCGGCUCAACUGGUAGUCGCUCUCAAAACUGCAGCUCUUGAGUGAAGUAGAGGCAGGCGGAAUUCCUAGUGUAGCGGUGAAAUGCGUAGAUAUUAGGAGGAACACCAGUGGCGAAGGCGGCCUGCUGGGCUUUUACUGACGCUGAGGCUCGAAAGUGUGGGGAGCAAACAGGAUUAGAUACCCUGGUAC
rnacentral:rRNA from 1 species